CCUGAGAAACCCAAAAGAUCGAAUGGGGAGAUUCAUCGUCAGCGAUCUCGGCGCUCGCGCGGUUCGCGAUGUCGAUCGGCCACGGCCUUUCGGCACGCGUCCGCGCGAAAUUGGUCGAGCGUCGUCGGCGUGCACUUCUCCCCUAGUAGGACGUCGCGACCCGUUGGGUGUCGGUCUACGGCCCGGGUGGGCGCCUGUCAAGCGUAACGUCUCGCGGCGUCGCUUGGCAGACCCCCGGUCGCCCGACCAGCUGCCCGGCGGUACUCGUACGGUAUCGAGCCGCAAAUUUUUUUAAAAAUUGCGUCCGGCCCGCCGCAAGCUUGGCCAGUGUUUAUUACCCGGAUGUUACGGACCUAGAGCCGUCACCGGGCCUGGUCGGCUGUUGGCAGGCGGUGUCCUGGGACAGGCUCUUAUUUUAUUUACCGGUCGGCGACGCUACUGCUUUGGGUACUUUCAGGACCCGUCUUGAAACACGGACCAAGGAGUCUAACAUGUGCGCGAGUCAUUGGGAGCUAAUAAGCCUAAAGGCGAAAUGAAAGUGAAUGUCGGCUUUAAGCCGACAGAGGGAGGAUGGUCCGCGUUACGAUGCGGUCCCGCACUCCCGGGGCGUCUCGUUCUCAUUGCGAGAAGAGGCGCACCCAGAGCGUACACGUUGGGACCCGAAAGAUG
rnacentral:rRNA from 1 species